UACGUAGGGGGCUAGCGUUGUCCGGAAUCAUUGGGCGUAAAGCGCGUGUAGGCGGUUCGGUAAGUCCGCUGUGAAAGUCGGGGGCUCAACCCUCGAAUGCCGGUGGAUACUGUCGGACUAGAGUACGGAAGAGGCGAGUGGAAUUCCUGGUGUAGCGGUGGAAUGCGCAGAUAUCAGGAGGAACACCGGUGGCGAAGGCGGGAUCCUGGGCCAGUACUGACGCUGAGGAGCGAAAGCGUGGGGAGCAAACAGG
rnacentral:rRNA from 1 species